rnacentral:rRNA from 1 species
UACAGAGGUCCCAAGCGUUGUUCGGAUUCACUGGGCGUAAAGGGUGCGUAGGUGGUCGGGUAAGUCUGAUGUGAAAUCUCCGAGCUCAACAUCGGAAGCAUUGGAUACUAUUCGGCUAGAGGGUUUGAGGGGGGACUGGAAUACUUGGUGUAGCAGUGAAAUGCGUAGAUAUCAAGUGGAACACCAGUGGCGAAGGCGAGUCCCUGGAAAACUCCUGACACUGAGGCAC